CCUACGGGAGGCAGCAGUGAGGAAUAUUGGUCAAUGGGCGCUAGCCUGAACCAGCCAAGCCGCGUGAAGGAUGACUGCUCUAUGGGUUGUAAACUUCUUUUAUAUGGGAAUAAAGUGCAGUACGUAUAUUGCUCUGCAUGUACCUUAUGAAUAAGGAUCGGCUAACUCCGUGCCAGCAGCCGCGGUAAUACGGAGGAUCCGAGCGUUAUCCGGAUUUAUUGGGUUUAAAGGGUGCGUAGGCGGGGGGUUAAGUCAGUUGUGAAAGUUGGAGGCUCAACCGUAAAAUUGCAGUUGAUACUGGCAGCCUUGAGUACAGUAGAGGUAGGCGGAAUUCGUGGUGUAGCGGUGAAAUGCUUAGAGAUCACGAAGAAUUCCGAUUGCGAAGGCAGCCUGCUGGGCUGUAACUGACGCUGAUGCACGAAAGUGUGGGUAUCAAACAGGAUUAGAUACCCCUGUAGUC
rnacentral:rRNA from 1 species